AUGCCGCCCCGACGUGGCCGCGGCCGAGGCCGAGGGCGAGGUCGUGGUCGGGGACACGAGCCUCCAGUGCCACCGCCUCAACCCGAACCUCCAUGGGAGCAUUGUCCGGUAUUUCAGCUACAAUUAGACGAGGACCCUGAGAUUAUGGCCCAAAAUUAUGACAAUUUGCUCGACACUAUUAUCAAUCAUAUCAUACAAAUUUGGCAAAACCUUCACAUUGAAGGAAAUGGCCUUAUUGAACAGGUUCAGACUUUGCCGAAAGGCGCGGGAUUCUAUGUGAUUGAAUUGCUUGCUCCGAUCAGUUGGGUUCAGGAUAAUUUUGGCCCUGUUAGGUUACUUUUUAGUUUUGACACUCUUUAUUGCAUUGGGUUUCGUAGAAAUGCUAAUUGGUAUAUCUUUAGCGAUAAUUAUGAGGAUAUGCAGAAUGUUCUCCGAAGAACUAAUGUGACACCUCUUACUUUUUCUGGCAACUAUAACAAGUUACGUGCCCGACUUCAACAACAUCCAUUUAGGGAUUCAAGCUCUCUUUCAGGCUUACAAAGAAUUAGCAGGUUAUCCCGGGUCGCUCAUCAAAGGUCCAUUGGUGACGAGUUGUGUUACCUUCUCAGAGACUCUUAG
rnacentral:rRNA from 1 species